rnacentral:rRNA from 1 species
GAAAAGAACUUUGAAAAGAGAGUUAAACAGUACGUGAAAUUGUUGAAAGGGAAACGAUUGAAGUCAGUCGUACUGGCGAAAAAUCAACUACUCGAGUGAGUACUUGUGGGCGUACGUGAGCUUCACGGCCGCGUUGUUUGCAAUGUUCGUGCUCUUGUGGUGUACUUUUUCGUGUGGUAGGUCAAUGUCGGUUUUGAACGCCAUAAAAUGAUCGGAGGAAUGUAGCUUCGACCUCGGUUGAAGUGUUAUAGCCUCUGGUAGAUGUGGUAAUUGGGACUGAGGAUUGCAACGAAUACCUUUUAGGCUAUCCGUCUGACCUCUGAAAGUCGCUUAGGUGCCGAAAGCGUGCUUACGGUUAUCCAAGUUGACUGUCAAUAGAUUAGAACGUGAUUACAUUCGU